rnacentral:rRNA from 1 species
UACGGAGGGUGCAAACGUUGCUCGGAAUCAUUGGGCGUAAAGCGCACGUAGGCGGUACAGCAAGUCGGAUGUGAAAGCCCUCGGCUCAACCGAGGAAGUGCAUUCGAAACUGCUGAACUUGAAUAUGGAAGAGGGUCGCGGAAUUCCCGGUGUAGAGGUGAAGUUCGUAGAUAUCGGGAGGAACACCAGUGGCGAAGGCGGCGACCUGGGCCAAUAUUGACGCUGAGGUGCGAAAGCGUGGGGAGCAAACAGG